UGAGUAACGCGUAGACAACCUGCCUUUAGGAUGGGGACACACCGCGAAAGUGGUGCUAAUACCGAAUGAGAUAUUCUGGUUGCAUAACUGGGAUAGAAGAUGGCCUCUUGCAAUGCUAUCGCUAAAAGAUGGGUCUGCGUCUGAUUAGCUAGUUGGUGAGGUAACGGCUCACCAAGGCGACGAUCAGUAGCCGGUCUGAGAGGAUAAACGGCCACACUGGGACUGAGACACGGCCCAGACUCCUACGGGAGGCAGCAGUGGGGAAUCUUCCGCAAUGGACGAAAGUCUGACGGAGCAACGCCGCGUGAGUGAAGAAGGCCUUUCCGGGGUCGUAAAGCUCUGUCUUUUGGGACGAACGUGCGCUAUGUAAAUAAUGUAGUGCAAUGACGGUACUAGAGAAGGAAGCCACGGCUAACUGCGUGCCAGCCGCAGC
rnacentral:rRNA from 1 species